AGGAAAAUAAGAAAAAAGAUGAAAAAAGACAAGAUGAACGAUCAGAAAUGAGUAUUAGUGAAGGAGAGAAUCCAAGUGCUUUUCCUUCUCUUUCUCCCCUUCCUCUUUCUCCC
rnacentral:ribozyme from 1 species